rnacentral:rRNA from 1 species
AUUGAACGCUGGCGGCAUGCCUUACACAUGCAAGUCGAACGGCAGCACGGGAGCAAUCCUGGUGGCGAGUGGCGAACGGGUGAGUAAUGUAUCGGAACGUGCCAGUCGUGGGGGAUAACGUAGCGAAAGCUACGCUAAUACCGCAUACGAUCUGUGGAUGAAAGCGGGGGACCGUAAGGCCUCGCGCGAUUGGAGCGGCCGAUAUCAGAUUAGGUAGUUGGUGGGGUAAAGGCCUACCAAGCCGACGAUCUGUAGCUGGUCUGAGAGGACGACCAGCAACACGGGGACCGAGACACGGCCCAGAAUCCUCCGGGAGGCAGCAGUGGGGAAUUUUGGAGAAGGGGAGCAAGCCUGAUCCAGCAAUGCCGCGUGCAGGAGGAAGGCCUUCGGGUUGUAAACUGCUUUUGUACGGAGCGAAAAGGCUCUCUCUAAUACAGGGGGCUCAUGACGGUACCGUAAGAAUAAGCACCGGCUAACUACGUGCCAGCCGCCGCCGUAA